rnacentral:rRNA from 1 species
UAAGGAAUCUUGCGCAAUGGCCGAAAGGCUGACGCAGCGACGCCGCGUGUGGGAUGACGGUCUUCGGAUUGUAAACCACUGUCGGGAGGGACGAAGUUCUGACGGUACCUCCAAAGGAAGCACCGGCUAACUCUGUGCCAGCAGCCGCGGUAAUACAGAGGGUGCGAGCGUUGUCCGGAAUCACUGGGCGUAAAGGGCGCGUAGGCGGCCUGGUAAGUCGGGGGUGAAACGCUGCGGCUCAACCGCAGCACUGCCUUCGAGACUGUCAGGCUGGAGCACGGUAGAGGCUGGUGGAAUUCCCGGUGUAGCGGUGGAAUGCGUAGAGAUCGGGAAGAACAUCGGUGGCGAAGGCGGCCAGCUGGGCCGUUGCUGACGCUGAGGCGCGACAGCGUGGGGAGCAAACA